rnacentral:lncRNA from 1 species
UGUCAUUACAAUCCCCAGCUAAUACCUGAGGAAACUGAGACAGAGGGGAAGCAACUCAUCAAAAUUCACAGCUUAGUGAACGGAGGAGCUAAGGUUUGAGCUUAGACAGUUUGUCCACUCACAUCUACUCAUCCGUGCACCCACCAUCCACCUAUCCAUUCAUCCACCCACCAUCCAUCCACCAUCCACCCAUUCAUCCACAAUCCACCAUUCACCAUCCAUCCAUCCACACGUCCAUCCAUCUAGUUACCCACCUAAUCAUCCAUUCACUCACCCACGCAUCCAUCCACCAUCCACUCCUUCAUCCAGUCACCAUCCACCCAUCCAUCCAUCCAUCCAUCCACCAUCCACUCCUCCAUCCACCCACCAUCUGCCCAUCCAUCUAUCCACCCACCAUUCACCCAUCCAUCCAUCUACUUACCCACCCACUCAUUCAUCUGUUCAACCACCCACCCAUCCAUUCACCAUCAGCUCCAUGAGAGCAGGAAUCAUGAUAUUCUGCUUAUUGCUCAAACCCUAUUUGUUGAGGGCCGCAAUCAAGUCAAGAUGGCGCCUGGCAGUUUGCCAGGAGGAGUGGUUUGUGAGGCAGUGCCACAGAGCCAUUAAGAUGGUGGAGAUUCCUUAUUGGCUGAUUGCUGUAUCUGGAUGAUGCUAAUUGAGUCAAG